GUCCGCUGCAUAACAUUGCAUUGUCCGUUUGCCCAAGUGCAAGCUCAGUUGAUGAAUCAGGACAAACUGAUCGGGAGAAUCAGUCAGUCAAGCAAGCAAGUGCCAUUUUCAUUGAGACAAAGCCCUAGGGUUGAUUUUUUAAGCUCAUAUGGUCCAAAGAUCAUUUUGAAGUGGUUUGGCCAAAGAUUGGAUGCUCAGAAGUCACCAGUCAUUGUUCAGUCAACCAGAAACCCUAGAAAGUCAACUGUGGUCAACUGUGGUCAACUGUGCCCGAUUUUAUGGAUUGGAAGGUGGGAAAUGGUUUGAAAGGCCUCAUUCAUGUCCAUAUAAACUUCAUUUGGCAUUUCGAAGAUCAAGGUUGAAGGAAUUGAGCUCAGACAGAAAGUUUCCAAAAAUAGCAGGUGACUGGUAACUGAAGUUUCCAAAAAUGGAAAGUUUUUGACCUCAAAAACAGAAGUCCAAGGAAGCUUCAAAUGGAAAAUUGUUCAACAUGACAGAUGUAGAUCUUGUUCUCACCUUUCCAAAAAGUCCAAGAACUUGAAAAUCCAAUGUACGGUUUGCAAGAUAUGGCUCAGUGAAUUUCAGAAAAGACCCGUAAUCAGGAGGCCAUAACUACCACAUACUUUGUCCAAAUUGCAAGUUCUUUAUAUGCACAAACUCCAUUUGACAUGUACUUCAAGGGUGAAUCAUUGGAUUUUUCCAAAAAUGGCCAAUGCAAAAAGUCACUUUUCAACUGGACUGUUAAUUGAACCAGGGGCAAAAUCGUCCAACUUGUGAAAUAAUUGGAAUUUUUGAGUGGGGAUUUUUGCAACACCUCACAAAUGGCAUUUGAAAUUUGUUGGAAUAUUCACAACAUGCCUAGGCCUUGUGGUUUGAGAAUUGGGUUUGAAAAUGAAUUGGAAAAAAUGGACACAUAAGCCAUCACAUGGUGAAAUUGGAAAAUAUUGGGAAUUUGAAAAUAAGGCCUAUACCAACAGCUCCCAAAUGAUAUUUGUGGUUUGCUCAAAGUGUUAAUUUGCUGUUAAGAAGCUUCUAAUGAUCAAGAGCCAAAAUUCCAAAUGCAUGACAUAAGCUCAUUUGCACUAAUCACCAUUUUUUGCUUAAUCAUCAUUAAGGAAUGGUUUAAGUGCUUGGUAUAUAUAUUUAAUCCAUAACAGAAAUUAGGGACUAAUCAUUUUUUUUUCACAAUCAUUCUUCACAAUCAUCUAACAGAAAAAGCUCUCAAAGAAAAUUCUCUCAAAAACCUCACAAAUUUUUCUUCACAAUUUUUGAGAAUUCAUCAAGAAUUCCUCAUUUCUUCUGUAGUUUCUGGUGUAGAUUGUUUUUUGCAGGUGGAAUCAUACUCCUGUUCCAUCAAUUCGUGGGAAGAGCAUCAAGAAAUCGCAACCGUGGCGAAACCUGCUUUCUUCCAUAACAGUUGGUAAAAUCGGCGGAUUCAAACACUAUCGAGCUGCGUUCCGAUCAUCAUUCAUCUUCUACAACCGUAUUCAACGUCUGUUUCUGCAUCUCGAGCUCGAAAUCGCAACGGCGCCGGUACUGCACUCAAGAAGGUCAAGUUUCGCUCAUCAUCAUUUGUCAAAUUGUGAUAGGGAUAUUGUAGAACACUUAUUGUAGACUGCGUAUCAAGUUAUAGAUUGAAUUUCCAUUGCGAAUUGCAUGAAUUAUUUGCGAUUGAAGUUUAUAUGCGUUUCUUUCUUUCGUUCGAUUCGUUGUAUGUAUUAAUUGUUGGAUGAAAUCAUUUGCGUAUUCACGAUCCUGAGUUCAUGCCGGUUCCAACGGUAUAAAGAUUGUUCGGUUCGGUGGUCGUUUGCUCGUAACCGAACUCGCCGGCGAUGAGAUGUACGAGCUGUGCGAAGAAGAUGAUGAAAGCCUGGAAAAGUUCUGUGUUGAUCCUGCUGUCCGCGUUUUCAUUUCGGAUUGGUUGUUUCCCACUGGCCAGGCCAAAUCUCAGCCGUCCAUUCCACCUAAUUGAAACUACAGCGUUUUUGGCUUGGCUACGUUACUUACUGUGUUGCCAUUCAUUCAUAAAUUAAUUAAUUAAUUCUUUGUAAAUCCUAAAUAAACAUUUCAAUAAUUAUUUCAAUAAUUCAAGAAACUUCUAAAAAUCACAAAAUCAUCAAUAUUAAUCCAAAUAAUUUGAGACUUUUUUUGAUGGACUCCAUUUUUAAUCUACUUUUUUAUAGAAUCAAAAAAUAAAAUAAUGCUUGGUAGAAAAAUUAAGUGACAUAGAAAUCUUUACAAUGUAUGCCAUUUCCACAUGCUGUAGCAUUUUAAUUAUAUAAUCACCAUGCAUAAUCCAAAUUAAAUGAAAUUUUAGAUAUUAAUUCUUAACACUUCCCUGGAAUUUUUGACAUAGGUUUUAUAAUUUUUGGACUUCUGGUUUAUUAUCUAUGAAUUAUUGAGUUUGAGUAUGAAAUAAUGUGACAUAGUUGGAUAUGCUGAAUUCUUCUAAUUGAUUACCAUGCUUCCCUCUGGCCAAUGGCCCUGAUUUUUUGCAUGAAGCUUAUUUAACAUGUUAAGAUUCACUGUGAAUUUUUGUGGAUUUUUACAAUCUAUUUUCAAUUUGAUUCAUAUUUUUCCUUGCUGCCUAGCAUGUUAGAGCUUCAUUUGUGUAACCUUUUGUAUAUAUGUUGCCAUAUUCUCAUACUUAAUCCAAUGACCAUGAAAAUUGAUGACAUAAUUCCUAACAUGUAUAGCUAUCUUUUGGCUUCGGUCCUACUAAUUUCUAAUAUACCAUUGCUGUUUACCAUCUAAUUGAAGUUGGUGUAUAAUUGUAGGCUUCAUUUGAUGUAGUUUUUGCAUGCCUUGUCAUGUUUAAUUAAUUCCUAUUGAUCUACUAGUCCAAAUGACUUGAAAAUUAACAUGUGGCUUGCUGAAUGUCUUCUGAUUAGAACAUAAUUUUUGUGGAUUUUUUGGUGCCAUUUUGGCAUUUAUUUGAAUGUGAUCUUGCUGGUUGUUUGUAUGAGACUCCACAUUGCAUCUUUUGCCUUCCAUGUUGCAUAAAUUAAAAGGUGCACAUAGUUUGGAUAUGGGACCAAUUGGGAUCCCUUUGUUAUUGAAAUAGCUUGACUUUGAUCAUGAAUUGGUUGCUGUUUUAACAUUUUUCCAUCUUUUUGACCCUAGGCUAGUCCUAGUGGUCAUGUUACUUACAUUUGAAUGUGAUUGUGGCUUUUCAGGUUAAGGAGUUAAGGCUUAAGGAUAUUGUUUCACAUUUGGGAUGUUUUGCUUGAUACUUGUAAACUAAUGUGGCUGUUUUGUAGGAUGCAUAGCAUUUGAGCUUUGAGCCUUGUGCCUUGCACAUUGUUGUUUGAUUGUACAUUAUUGAUUCUUAUUGUUGUUAUCUGAUCAUGAAUGGGAUGCUGAUUCUGUUUGACUUUUGUACAGGUACACUUAGUUGCUCAGUUCUCUUAAGAACUUGCAUUGCUUUGCUUAUAAGCAAUUGGCAUUGAGGUGUCAUCCGGUGCGCAUAGCCCGUCUGUUCAAAUUUCCUGCUAGGGACAACAAAUCCAAACUGAUGGAUCCACUCAACACCGGUAAAGGCAGACAUGUUCGGGAUUGGUUAUCCAGAUCAAGAGUCGUCUAGACCAAACAGAGGACGUCGUCCACCGUACAUCUUUGUCAGUGCGGGAAUGCUGAAUUCUGAUCAGGCUUGUUCAGUGAGUGAAGAGAUCGACCGCGACCGCGAGCUAGAGCUGUGGAUAAAGUCGUGCGUACCAGGCAAUUGGAAAGCCUCCAAAAGCAUCAUUGUCGCUCAUCCGGAAGAGUAGUUUUCCUGUGUUAAUUUUGUUUGCAUGAAAGCCAUACGUUUUGCCCGAAACGUAAUGGUCCAUUGUAAGGGCCAUCUCAUGUGUCUCAUUUUGCAACAUUUUGCAUCAGUAAUAAAUGGAUGUUUUUGUGAUCAAAAGCGGUGCUCCCUGUUUUUCACUUUUUGCAGUUUAAAAAAUAAAAUAAAAAUGGCAAUGUUUUUAUUUUCUUUCCUUUUGACUCAUUUGGUUCCGACCUUAAAAGUGAUUACCCUCCUGAUCUCAUAGAUAACAAUUUGGUUACACCUCUAUAUGACUUCGACAAUCCAAGCUAUCAUGCCGAAGAAUAAGGCGAAGAAGAUUGUGAUCUGCUGGAAUUAGCUAGGUUGUUGAAACAAGAGGAGAAGGUGAUUCAACCGCACGAGAAGCGGGUCAAGAUUGUCAUCCCAAGUACCGCCGAGGUCAGAAGGGAAACGAAAGUGAGGCCGCUUCAUCGGCAAGUCAAGAACAGAAUGGUAGCCCUGUUGAAAGAGCAGGUUGAUAUCUUCACCUGAUUGCAUCAAGAUACACCAAGGUGAGAUACCAAUGUUGUGGGGCACGAGCUACCAUCGAGAGAAGACUAUCCUCUAGUGAAGAAGAAGGUCGGUGCCACGGAUCAAAGGGCUACGGUGACUUUGUUCCAUGAUAUGACUCACCGUGAAAGCGAAUGCCAUGUUGAUGACAUGAUGACAAAGUCCCAAGUAGAAGAGGGGCAUCCGGUGGACUUGAUCCCGUUGUUUGACAGGUAGAGAUAACUCAUACUGUUGAGUCUAAGUCAGUGCACUUAUGGAGUGCUGUCCGGUGAGCUGCCGAGGCUUAUUGUGGGCAAAUCAGAGGAAUCGAGGUCGAUCCUGCAAAAAAAAAAAAAAAAAAAAAAAAAAAAAAAAAACAAUACAAGAAAUGCCUGAACCGAAAACAAAAAAGAAGAAGAGAUCAAACGGUCAGGUAGGAUAACGUUUGCCAAGUGGCAUGGAAAGAAAAAUGAGUAGCAGGAACCUCUGAUUCUGAUACCUUCCGGGGAAGAAACAAUUGUUAAUCUGGUACUUGACAGCCCUUAAAGGAUCUAUGAGGUGCGUAUUGGGUCAGUAUGACUAGUCUUGUCGAAAAGAGCACGCAAUUUACCUAAGCAAAAAGUUCAUCGACUGUGAAAUAAUACACUCACUGCUCGAGGAAACUUGAUGUACUUUGGCAUAGGCUGCUCGCCGACUGAGACAGUGUAUGCUGAUUCAUACCACCUUGUGGAUGUCCAAAAUGGAUCUGAUCAAGUAUGUGCUUGAGAAGUCAGCAUGGACCGGACGGGUUGCGAGAGGGCAAAUGGCGUCAACUGAAUACGAUAUUCGGUAUACCUCCCAGAAAGCAAUCAAGAGGAGGGUAUUGUAUGGUUAUCUCGCCCAACGACCCACUGAUGAUUAUCAGUCAAGGAAGUUUGAGGUCCCUGAUGAGGACAUCUCGAGGUACUCAAAUCGAAAGAUUGAGAGUGACCGAUCCUGGAGGAGGGGCCUGACCCUGAAUCCGAACGGAUUCUGAUGUCUGAUGGGGAGAGUUUAAAGUGAAUGAGUUAGUGCUUCCCCGAUAACAUUUGAAUGCACCAACGAUGAUGGCUGAGUACGAAGUCGGUAUCCUGAGUGUCGUACCUCGAUACGUGCAUCUACUGGGGCAACGCCUUCCUCAUUCAGUAUGGGAUGGAAGUGAUAUUGCCUGCUGGAGGUUAGAUCUCAUUGUGGAGAAUCCGGAUGGAUGAGAAGUUAGAAAAGGGUGAGUGGAUAAGGACUCGGUACGACACGUUGAGCCUGACCGAGGAGAAAAGGGCUGACAGUUACUUGUCAUGGGGCAAUGGUACCCAGUAAAUGAAGCGUGUUGUUGACCGAGAAGUGGGACCUCGUGGGUGGUAUGGAAGAGAUGUGAUGUUGAAAAGGAUCCUUCCUCCUCAAGACGAUCGUGGGACAAGUGGAUAAACAGUUAUGAAUGUCCAUUCGGGGUCGAAAAGGUCUCCUCUGACAGAGCCUUGUGAUCGAUGACCACGAAUGAUGAAGAUUUUCCAUUCCCUGCAGAUGCGGACGCAGUUAAAAGAUACUUCGUGAAAAAUUGACCCGCUGGACAAAAAAAAAAAGAAAAGAGUUCAGGCAAAAAGGGGCAUCCCGGCGAACCAAAAAAAAGAGAGAAAGGUUCGGACAAAAGUUAGGGAUGAUAAAAGAAAAGAACUGUACACCCGGCAAGUCGAAAACCCCACAAGGGCGACUUGGGCAAAAAAGGGUAUCCCGGUGGGCUGAAACCUGAAAGGGCGGUCCAGGCAAAAGAGGGAUUGAAACGAACAACUGCGUCCAGCAUGAUCGUUUGUGCUUGAGAUAUGGCUUGGAUAGUCUCCGGCAGAGAUCGAUUGGAAGCGUCUUGUUCAGAAGACAGAAAGUGCGGAAAGUCUUGAGGACAUAUGGGGUGUAACCGAGUUGGAACCCGAUGAGAUCAUGGUUUCACAUUGCCAAUAGAAUAGAUUUUCUCCUUUUAUGCGCAAUCACCUCUUUCCAGGGUUUGCCUCCUGUGUGUUGCUCAAUUCUGAGCCACUUUUUUGUUUCAGUCAAUAAAAUGCGUAUUCAGUCAAAUAGUUUUGUUUUUGUUUUCAUUACCGCUUUGAUUACGAAAACAUCUGUUUAUUUUGAUAAGAAUACUUGCAUUUUGAAACAUAGAGGUCCCUUCCGAUGCAUGCUUAUAAGAUUGAAAUCUGGAAAUCUUAUUCGGAAGUUUGAGUGACCAAGACGUUGAAGCGUUGGCACGCCUGGGGCACGCUUUUAUCUAACAAUCUCUUGUGCAUGCGCUGUUAGAUAUCUUCAUUCGCUGACAGGUGGUGAUAUGAAGCCUUUUGAAAAAAAAAGGGGAAAUCCCCACAGAGUCCAAUCAGGGGCAAUGGACAGACGAACGGUGAAAAGCCCGUGACAGAGUUGUGGCGACGAUCCUGGAAAGCUAAUCAAGAAGACUCUUCAAAGUCUGAGGACUGGGAAGUUUGUAUAAUCCCAGGAGUGUGAUCCCCGUGGAGUACGGAGGAGUCGGGAAUAUAAGGUGAUGGAUCAGAAAAGUCCAGAUGAGUCUGGGAGUUCUCAAAAGCGGAAAGUCAACACUGUGGUAGGAUGAUGAACACCAGUGUUCGACGAAUCGAAGGGCGGCCCGUGUCCGAUAGGCCGUAUUUCCCCAAUGGGUUUGAGAGUGUCAUCUCCCUAGCAGAUUCGAGAUCAGUGCCUCCUCAGCAAGCCUGAAGGUUACCGUACCCCCAGCGGAGUUGUGAUUGUUUUCCAAGUCUGAAGCUGUCUUCCCAGCAGAAGUUGUGUUGUCGGGGUUCCCCCAGCAAGGUUCCCAAGCGGACCGAGUCCGGUGGAAUCAUCCCCAGUAGAGACAAACAUGGGUUGCCUCCCCUAGCAGGGUAAUCGUCAAGCAAGUCCGGGUUCGAUGGAGGUCAUCCCCAGCAAGGUUUGUCUUUCCCCAGCAGGGUGGAAAUUGACUUAGUAAUGAGAUCCUCAGCAGAGUUCUUGGAGCUCCCUGGUGUUGUCUCUGAAGGGGACGUGUUUUUAUGCAUUCAUCAUUUAGACAAGCAUAGCAUGUUGCAUCAUUAGUGCAUAGCAUUUCCAUAAUCAUGGGGCAUUGUGUAAAGUGAAAAAAAAAAAAAAACUCAUGCAUCAGCAUUGCAAACGCAUCCAUUAGCCCGAGGCCGUGGUGAAUUGACCAAGAAUGGGUUGUUGGAAAGAGUUUAGCAUCGCUUGGAUCGACUUCAGAAGUGGAUAUCCCCAGCAGGGUUGAGAGAGGCGUUUCCCCAACAAGCGACUCUUUAGUCGAGUGGGUAUCCCCAGCAUGGUUACUCCCCAAUUGGUAGCAUCUUGCCAGCUUGGAUCCAUUUCCCUAGCAGAUGUGGGUGUGUCUGAUCUCUCCAUGUAGAGUUGACCUUUUAAGCAGAAAAUGUCUGUCAUUUCCUUCUGCGCUCCCCACGAGUUGUGUCCUCGUGGAUGACGGUUGUUUCCGUUCCCUCCCCUUGGGAUGGGUUUUCCCUAGUGAGUUCUUUCCUCAUUAGGAUGUCUUGGUUCAGUUUGCCUUUUUGGAUCGAUCCUGAAUUGGCUUCCUUGUGACUGUCUCCUGUUUUUCCCUGGGGCAUAAAUGAAUAGUUGCUCACUAACCGGCACUCAUUCAUCUUAUCCUCAGCGGAAUUUUUGGCCUCUACCUACGAACCGGUAGUUGUAAGUCCUAUCUUUGUGGUUUGCUACCUACAACCUGGUAGUUGUAAAAUCCCACUUUCAUCCCCUAGCAGAGGUAACCUUUGUGGUUCAUUCUGUUUGUUGGCUUCUACCUAUAAUCCGGUAGUUGUAAGUCUUAUCUUUGUGGUUUUCUACCCACAAGCUGGUAGUUGUAAAAUCCCACGUUCUCCCCUUGGUGGAGUUAACCCUUUGUGCUCAUCCUAUUGAUGACUGGUUACUUUUCUGUGGUUUUCUGCCUACUAACCGGUAGAUGUAAUCCCCUCUUUGCAGUUAUCAGUAUCCGGUUUGCGGUAUUGAUAUUCUUUUCCCCUCUAGAUACUGGCCUUGAUCAAGCAGUAUUGUCCCCAGUGGGUCUCCCCCUUUCUUUUGGGUAUUUGCUCCGAGUCAGCAACUUUAUCCUCUUUUGAUUGGUCAUCUUUUGCAUACCUGUUCCUGGUACACGAUGCCUUUCUUUUCGGUCGUUUAUCCAUUUAACAACCAACCCGGUUAUGGAUAAUCUUCCAUGCGAGUAUAUUAUCUACGUUCUGACGGCUAUAGAUAAUAUGUCUCAUGCACUCUCUGGUCAGUCCUUUGAUUGUUUUCUCCAGCAGAGUAAGGUUCGUAUUCCUUUGUUCGGAAUCGAAUGUCCAUCCUUUAACAAGUUUGCCUUUGCUCUCUUCAGGAUGAUGUCGGUUGAUUUAUCCAUUUAACAACCAACCCGGUUAUGGAUAAUCUUCCAUGCGAGUAUGUAAUCUACGUUUUGACGGCUAUAGAUAAUAUGUCUCAUGCGCUCUUGGGUCGAAGUCGUCCUCCCCAGUCGAGUAAGAUUCGUAUUCCUUGUGGAAUCGAAUGUCCAUCCUUUAACAAGACUGCUUUUCUAGCCCUCUUCAGGAUGUUGAGUGUUUUGGAACCCAAACCAAUUCACGCUUUGGUCGGUCACCUGUUUCAUACCUACAACCCGGUAUCCUUGGUGUUCCUUCCUGUUUGCUCGCUGUCGUGACCUUGUUCCCCAGUGAGAUCCCCUGCAAGUGUGUAGCCUUGCCCUGCCAUCUUGUAGAUGCCAUUACCCUGUCAGCACCCGCGUGUGUUGUUUCUUUGGUGUCAGUAAGCACCAUAUUUCGGUGCUUUCCCAGUCAUGCGUAAUGUCUGGUCUUCUUUGGUGUCGGUAAACAUCAUCUUUCGAUGUUCGUAACGUCGUCCCUUCCCUGGUGAAUUUGAUCCUCCUCUCCGUUGGUGUCGAUAAACGUCGAGUUUUUCCCAGUUAUCCGCUGAUAAUUUGGUUGUGUUCACUCUCCCUAGAAGAGUUUCCUCCUCUCCGUUGGUGUCGAUAAACGUUGAGUUUUUCCUAUGCGUCCUAUGAUGUAUAGUUGAUAUCUUUCCCCACAGGGUCGUCCCAGAAGUUUCCUCCUCUCCGUUGGUGUCGAUAAACGUCGAGUUUUUCCUGUACGUCCUAUGGCGUAUAGUUGAUUAUUCCCCGCAGAUCAUUUGGUAAUGCCAGAUGAUUCCCCUCAAAAUUUGAUCCUCCUCUCCGUUGGUGUCGAUAAACGUCGAGUUUUUCCUAGUCGUCCGAUGACGUCUGGUUGUAUCCUUCCCCCAGUGGAUCUACCUCCGCGUUGGUUUCGAUAAACGUUGUGUUUUUCUCAUUCGUCCGCGAACGUUUGAUUGUAUACCCUCUUCCCAGUCAUUCAUUAAUGUCUGGUUGAUUCCCAGCCAGAAUUCCCAGUAGACGUCCUAUUCGGUUUCCGGUUGUGGUGCCUUUCCCUCGUGAAGUGGCUUUCUCCUUCUCCCUUUCGUCCUAUGACGCCUGGCUGAGUUUUCUCCUUCUCCCUUUCGUCCGAUGACGUCUGGUUGAGUCUCCCUUUCGUCCUAUGACGCCUGGCUGAGUUUUCUCCUUCUCCCUUUCGUCCGAUGACGUCUGGUUGAGUCUCCCUUUCGUCCUAUGACGUCUGGCUGAGUUUUCUCCUUCUCCCUUUCGUCCUAUGACGUCUGGCUGAGUUUUCUCCUUCUCCCUUUCGUCCGAUGACGUCUGGUUGAGUCUCCCUUUCGUCCUAUGACGUCUGGCUGAGUUUCCUCCUUCUCCGUUGGUGUCGAUAAACGUUGAGUCUCCCUUUCGUCCUAUGACGUCUGGCUGAGUUUCCUCCUUCUCCGUUGGUGUCGAUAAACGUUGAGUCUCCCUUUCGUCCUAUGACGUCUUGGCUGAGUUUUCUCCUUCUCCGUUGGUGUCGAUAAACGUCGAGCUUCUCCCUUUCGUCCUAUGACGUCUGGUCGAGUCUUCCCAUUCAUCCUAUGAUGUCUGGUUACCUCUCCGUUGGUCUUGGUAAACGCUGAGUUUUUCCCCGUUACGUCCGCUGACGUAUGGUUGUAUCUCUCUUUCCAUUCAUUCAUUAAUGAUUGGUUACCUCUCCGUUGGUCUUGGUAAACGUUGAGUUUUUCCCCAUUUCGUCCGCUGACGUAUGGUUGUAUCUCUCCUUCCAUUCAUUCAUUAAUGAUUGGUUACCUCUCCGUUGGUCUUGGUAAACGUUGAGUUUUUCCCAUUUCGUCCGCUGACGUAUAGUUGUAUCUUGUCCUGGUCGUCCCAGUAGAGUUGAUUUACCUCUCCGUUGGUCUUGGUAAACGUUGAGUUUUUCCUAGUUGUCCGUUGGCAUCUAGUUGAGAUGAUUUCUGAUCCCAUUCAUCGUGUGUCGAUGUCUGGAUGUGGUUGUACCUCUGAAGCAGAAGAAGAAGAAAACAAAUAAAGUCCCAGCAGUGUGCAAAUUUCUACGGUUCUUGGUAUUCAAUCCCUGUUUACCCUGAAAGUCUGACAGCCGUUGCUCUCAUCCAUUCGGGUCCCCAGUCGAUUGAAUAGGGGCAGCUGUAGCACCUCAAAUUUGCACCCUACCAUUUUGUACAUUCAUUGCAUACUAGGUCAUAACAUUAAUAAUGUCCGCUGCAUAACAUUGCAUUGUCCGUUUGCCCAAGUGCAAGCUCAGUUGAUGAAUCAGGACAAACUGAUCGGGAGAAUCAGUCAGUCAAGCAAGCAAGUGCCAUUUUCAUUGAGACAAAGCCCUAGGGUUGAUUUUUUAAGCUCAUAUGGUCCAAAGAUCAUUUUGAAGUGGUUUGGCCAAAGAUUGGAUGCUCAGAAGUCACCAGUCAUUGUUCAGUCAACCAGAAACCCUAGAAAGUCAACUGUGGUCAACUGUGGUCAACUGUGCCCGAUUUUAUGGAUUGGAAGGUGGGAAAUGGUUUGAAAGGCCUCAUUCAUGUCCAUAUAAACUUCAUUUGGCAUUUCGAAGAUCAAGGUUGAAGGAAUUGAGCUCAGACAGAAAGUUUCCAAAAAUAGCAGGUGACUGGUAACUGAAGUUUCCAAAAAUGGAAAGUUUUUGACCUCAAAAACAGAAGUCCAAGGAAGCUUCAAAUGGAAAAUUGUUCAACAUGACAGAUGUAGAUCUUGUUCUCACCUUUCCAAAAAGUCCAAGAACUUGAAAAUCCAAUGUACGGUUUGCAAGAUAUGGCUCAGUGAAUUUCAGAAAAGACCCGUAAUCAGGAGGCCAUAACUACCACAUACUUUGUCCAAAUUGCAAGUUCUUUAUAUGCACAAACUCCAUUUGACAUGUACUUCAAGGGUGCAUCAUUGGAUUUUUCCAAAAAUGGCCAAUGCAAAAAGUCACUUUUCAACUGGACUGUUAAUUGAACCAGGGGCAAAAUCGUCCAACUUGUGAAAUAAUUGGAAUUUUUGAGUGGGGAUUUUUGCAACACCUCACAAAUGGCAUUUGAAAUUUGUUGGAAUAUUCACAACAUGCCUAGGCCUUGUGGUUUGAGAAUUGGGUUUGAAAAUGAAUUGGAAAAAAUGGACACAUAAGCCAUCACAUGGUGAAAUUGGAAAAUAUUGGGAAUUUGAAAAUAAGGCCUAUACCAACAGCUCCCAAAUGAUAUUUGUGGUUUGCUCAAAGUGUUAAUUUGCUGUUAAGAAGCUUCUAAUGAUCAAGAGCCAAAAUUCCAAAUGCAUGACAUAAGCUCAUUUGCACUAAUCACCAUUUUUUGCUUAAUCAUCAUUAAGGAAUGGUUUAAGUGCUUGGUAUAUAUAUUUAAUCCAUAACAGAAAUUAGGGACUAAUCAUUUUUUUUCACAAUCAUUCUUCACAAUCAUCUAACAGAAAAAGCUCUCAAAGAAAAUUCUCUCAAAAACCUCACAAAUUUUUCUUCACAAUUUUUGAGAAUUCAUCAAGAAUUCCUCAUUUCUUCUGUAGUUUCUGGUGUAGAUUGUUUUUUGCAGGUGGAAUCAUACUCCUGUUCCAUCAAUUCGUGGGAAGAGCAUCAAGAAAUCGCAACCGUGGCGAAACCUGCUUUCUUCCAUAACAGUUGGUAAAAUCGGCGGAUUCGAACACUAUCGAGCUGCGUUCCGAUCAUCAUUCAUCUUCUACAACCGUAUUCAACGUCUGUUUCUGCAUCUCGAGCUCGAAAUCGCAACGGCGCCGGUACUGCACUCAAGAAGGUACACUUAGUUGCUCAGUUCUCUUAAGAACUUGCAUUGCUUUGCUUAUAAGCAAUUGGCAUUGAGUAACGCAUUCUUCCUGUAUAAGAAUGACAAAUGUUGGUCAAGUUGCUAAGAAGGUAGAUUUUGGUGAGACUUUUGGUCCAGUUGCUGAGAUGAUAGAUUUUGGUGAAGUUGUUGGUCCAGCAGUUGAAGUUUCUGAAGCUACUGCCACUCAGGAAAACAAUAAAUGUUUCUUUUGAUGCAUUGGGAAAAAUUGGGGGAAGUGUAUACUUUUUAUUCCUAUUCCUGCUCCUCCAACUCCAACUCCAACUCUUCCUUCAUUUGAAUGAAUUAGUAAAUAUAGGAUUUAGAUUUUUAUAAUAUAUUAAAUAAAAAUAAUCCAUAUCCAUUUUACUAUUUCUCAAAUAUAGGAUAUGAUUAUGGUGCUGUGUCAAAAAAUAAAGCAAGGGACUUGGGUUAAGAAAUUUUUUGGAAAAUUUGGUCGAAAGCUAUGUACUUGAAACUUCAUGCCUCCAUAACCCAUUAGAAUGGAACUGUAAUGUUUUAAAUUUUUUAUAAAUUGAGAUAUAUUAAAGGGAGAGAGAUAUAUUAUCUGAAUUGAGAUUUGGUGCAGUGAAAUAUGUUAUAAAAUCACACGUUAAAAUGUGGAUAACCGUGUGAUUAAGAUCAAACGAAUAUAUUUUUAAAAAAUAUAAAUAUUUAUUGGAAAAUGUGUGAUGAAGAUGGAAUGAUCGAAAAAAAGAAUUGAAUUUUGAUGGUUUGUCUCCACUUUCCUUCUUCGAGACAUUUAUUUUGUUUGGUUUCAGAAAACAUUAUAUGACAUUUAUUUUGUUUGGUUUCAGAAAACAUUAUAUGACAUUUAUUUUGUUUGGUUUCAGAAAACAUUAUAUGACAUUUAUUUUGUUUGGUUUCAAAAAACAUCGCAUAUUCUAUCAGUAACGCAUUCUUCCUGUAUAAGAAUGACAAAUGUUGGUCAAGUUGCUGAGAAGGUAGAUUUUGGUGAGACUUUUGGUCCAGUUGCUGAGAUGAUAGAUUUUGGUGAAGUUGUUGGUCCAGCAGUUGAUGUUUCUGAAGCUACUGCCACUCAGGGAAACACGAAAUGUUUCUUUUGAUGCAUUGGGAAAAAUUGGGAGAAGUAAAACAUUAUAUGACAUUUGUUUUGUUUGGUUUCAAAAAACAUCGCAUGUUCUAUCAGUAACGCAUUCUUCCCGUAUAAGAAUGACAAAUGUUGAUCAAGUUGCUGAGAAGGUAGAUUUUGGUGAGGCUUUUGGUCCAGUUGCUGAGAUGAUAGAUUUUGGUGAAGUUGUUGGUCCAACAGUUGAUGUUUCUGAAGCUACUGCCACUCAGGAAAACAAUAAAUGUUUCUUUUCCUGCAUUGGGAAAAUUUGGGGGAAGUGUAUACUUUUUAUUCCUAUUCCUGCUCGUCCAACACCAACUCCAACUCUUCCUUCCUUUGAAUGAAUUAGUAAAUAUAGGAUUUGGAUUUUUAUAAUAUAUUAAAUAAAAAUAAUCCAUAUCCAUUUUACUAUUUCUCAAAUAUAAGAUAUGAUUAUGGUGUUGUGUCAAAAAAUAAAGCAAGGGACUUAGGUUAAGAAAUUUUAUGACAAAUUUGGUCGAAAGCUAUGUACUUGAAACUACAUGCUUCCAUAACCCAUUAGAAGGGAACUGUCAUGUUUUAAAUUUUUUAUAAAUUGAGAUAUAUUAAAGGGAAAGAGAUAUAUUAUAUGAAUUGAGAUUUGGUGCAGUGAAAUAUGUUAUUAAAUCACACAUUAAAAUGUGGAUAACCGUGUGAUUAAGAUCAGACGAAUAUAUUUUUAAAAAAUAUAAAUAUUUAUUGGAAAACGUGUGAUGAAGAUGGAAUGAUCGAAAAAAAGAAUUGAAUUUUGAUGGUUUGUCUCCACAUUCCUUCUUCAAGACAUUUAUUUUGUUUGGUUUUAGAAAACAUUAUAUGACAUUUAUUUUGUUUUGUUUCAGAAAACAUUAUAUGACAUUUAUUUUGUGUGGUUUCAAAAUACAUCGCAUAUUCUAUCAGUAACGCAUUCUUCCCGUAUAAGAAUGACAAAUGUUGGUCAAGUUGCUGAGAAGGUAGAUUUUGGUGAGGCUUUUGGUCCAGUUGCUGAGAUGAUUGAUUUUGGUGAAGUUGUUGGUCCAGCAGUUGAUGUUUCUGAAGUUACUGCCACUCAGGGAAACACGAAAUGUUUCUUUUACUGCAUUGGGAAAAAUUGGGGAAAGUGUAUACUUUUCAUUCCUAUUCUUGCUCCUCC